UGAGAAGCUUCGACCAAGGUUCGAUUCGAGCGCAGCGAGAAAGCGUUGCCGCAGGCAACGACCCGAAGGGCGAAGCGCGCAGCGCUGA
rnacentral:sRNA from 1 species